CGAAGCCAUUAAAUUCGAUUGAACCUAAGCUUGACUCAAACCUAAAUAAUUAAUAAUUCAACUCUUUACUCCCUUCUGAGAAGCUAAGCUGCAUUUUGGAAGCCUGGCCUCCAGAUAUCCUGGCUCAAGACAUCCUGAGAUGUGUCACCCUCCAGUGAAAACAGUGUCUACCAUUAACUUCAGUAGAGAUUUCCCCCUCGAAUCAGAAAAAAGUGCAAAUGGACAGCGCCUCAAGAGAUCUGUCUCCUCCUCCCAUGGCAAGACAAAUUUAUACCUAAAACUUGUUUGAUGGAUGCUUCUCUAACCAAACUAGAAAGCCCCCAGGAUGGGCUUCCACUGCCUCCCCAAACAACCUAUCUCUGAGCUUCCCUUACCUUGCAAUUAGAUUUUUUUUCAUUCCUAAUGGCCACCUUAAAAUCAUUUUUGCAAUUUUUGCCCAUCAUGUCUUGUCCCAUCACAUGUUGAUAUUUUUGAAGACUGUUUCCAUAUCUUGUAAAAGAAAAGACUGAGAGGCGAUCUCAUCAACAUUUACAAGUAUCUGAAGGGGGGAUGUCGAGAGGAUGAGGCCAGACUCUUCUCAGCAGUGCCCAGCGACAGGACAAGAGGCAACAGGCACAAACUGAAAC
rnacentral:lncRNA from 1 species